UGCUCGCGAUACGCCCCUGUUUCCGCCGCUCUGGAACCCUCCCCUGCAUUCCUUUUCUUUGUUUCGCUUCGCCCUCUGCUUCGAUCUUUUCCCGUUCUUGUUCCGUUUUCUGACGCAGAUUCCUUUUCGUGUUCUUUCUUUGUUCCAUGUUCUUGUUUGAUCUUGUGACGUAGGGUCGUUGGUCUGUUUUUUAUUGUUCUUUUUCGAAUCUUUUCUUGUUCCGACGCAGAUUCCUUUUCGUGCUCUUUCUUUGUUCCAUAUACUUGUUCGAUCUUGUGACGCAGGGUCGUUGGCCCGAUUUUUCUUGUUCUUGUUCGAAUCUUUUGGCGCAGAUUUCUCUUCGUGUUCUUUCUUCUUCUUGUUCGAUCUUUGACGCAGGUCCUUCUCGUGAUUUAUUCCUGUUCUAUUCGAUCAUUUGGCGUAGAUUCUAAGGUUCCGCAGAUCGGAAGAGACUGCGAGGUUCUUGAGGGAUUCAGAUGGCGGUGGCGUCGAGGCUGGUUCUUGAUGGGAACCCGAUCAGGCCAGCCACGAUCUGUUUGAUCGGGGCCGGGAGUUCAUCGGAUCCCACCUAUGCGAGAAACUGAUGGCGGUGACGCUCCACAGCGACAAGAUCAAGCAACUCCUCGGUCCGCCGCCAGAGGGGUAGCAGUAGGCGCGCACCACCCUUGGGACUUCCAGAUCCACUUCCACCGCCUCAUCAUCAAGCACGUCUCCAUCUGGUUUUCCUUCCCCUUUUCAAGAUCCUGUUUCGGAUACCCUGCAUUGCCUCCAUGUCCCGCUCUACCAUUUGAUCUUUUCUUAGUGAACUAUUCUCUUUCUCGACGCGUCGUCUACUUCUAUGAGCGGAUCCGCAUUCCUGUCACCACGUUUUCUUUGUUGCACGAGAAAUCCAAAUCUUGAAUUAGUUCUUGUGCACAACUUCUUUUCCCAUAGAGAUGACCAACGUAACUAACUGCAUUGACGCUCGUCCAGUUGGAAGCUGUGGGAUUUCUUGGUCCCUUCUCUUACAUUUAGGUUUUACCGUGGCUUAUUUAUUUUGUGAUUGCUUGACGUUUGGUGGUUGUUCAGGUCAUGUAUUGCUUAGAUAGCGACAAGCGCCUGAUUCGCUUCACCACUUGUGAAGUCUAUGGGACAGAAACUGGAAGCCUCCUUUCCAAGGAUCAUCCUCUAAGCAAGACCAUCUAAAGCUGAGGGUGCAGAGCAUUGUCUGGAGUUCACCAUUGUGAGCCAUGGCAAGGGAUUUCCUAGAAUUUGGCAUGAUUCAGCAAUGUGCCUGUGAGGGACGUGCGAGUCUCAAGGAAUUCUGUGGUAAAGGAUAUGUGGACAUUGAUAAGCAGAUUGCCAACGUGAUCGUAAUCAUUAAGGAACUUUGGUUGGAACGCGCAAGACAUACCUGUGGGACAUUCUGGAAUUGACACUGAUCUAUUGGCAGCCAACAAGAGAGGGUGCGUCGGUCCGCAAAAAGCAUUCUGUUAUCUUUUCCGUUGAUUAGCGUCGAUGAUUCAAAUCCUGUUGACUCGUUGUUGUGUCCUCUGGAAGUGGUUUUAUAUGCCAUGUUACCGGUGUGGUAUUACCCAUGGCCCGCCACAUAUACAGAGCAUUCUGUUCCAUGUUCUAUUAUCCAUCUGCUAAUUCAUGAACUUAGUCA